rnacentral:tRNA from 1 species
GGGGUUGUGGCUCAGUGGUAGAACAUCCACUUGGUAUGCAGAAGGUCCUGGGUUCAAUUCCUGGCAUCUCCG